GAGUUUGAUCCUGGCUCAGGACGAACGCUGGCGGCGUGCCUAACACAUGCAAGUCGAGCGGAGACAGUGAGUAGCUUGCUAUGAGCUGUUUUAGCGGCGGACGGGUGAGUAACGCGUGAGCAACCUUUCCCAGACAGGGGAAUAACACACCGAAAGGUGUACUAAUACCGCAUAAGACCACGGGAUCACAUGGUUCUGAGGUAAAAGAUUUAUCGGUUUGGGGUGGGCUCGCGUCCGAUUAGGUAGUUGGUGAGGUAACGGCCCACCAAGCCGACGAUCGGUAGCCGACCUGAGAGGGUGAUCGGCCACAUUGGGACUGAGACACGGCCCAAACUCCUACGGGAGGCAGCAGUGGGGAAUAUUGGGCAAUGGAGGGAAACCCUGACCCAGCAACGCCGCGUGGAGGAAGAAGGUUUUCGGAUCGUAAACUCCUGUCCUUGGAGACGAGUAGAAGACGGUAUCCAAGGAGGAAGCCCCGGCUAACUACGUGCCAGCAGCCGCGGUAAUAC
rnacentral:rRNA from 1 species